UAGGGGAUGUAGCAAUACAUCACCGGCGGACGGGUGCGUAACGCGUGGGAAUAUACCUAUUGGUUCGGAACAACUGAGGGAAACUUCAGCUAAUACCGGAUGAGCCCUAACGGGGAAAGAUUUCUCGCCAAUAGAUUAGCCCGCGUCCGAUUAGCUAGUUGGUGGGGUAAAAGCCUACCAAGGCGACGAUCGGUAGCUGUUCUGAGAGGAAGAUCAGCCACACUGGGACUGAGACACGGCCCAGACUCCUACGGGAGGCAGCAGUUGGGAAUCUUGGACAAUGGGGGAAACCCUGAUCCAGCCAUGCCGCGUGAGUGAUGAAGGCCUUCGGGUUGUAAAACUCUUUCGACGGGGACGAUAAUGACGGUACCCGUAGAAGAAGCUCCGGCUAACUUCGUG
rnacentral:rRNA from 1 species